rnacentral:rRNA from 1 species
AGCGAACGCUGGCGGCAGGCCUAACACAUGCAAGUCGAACGAACUCUUCGGAGUUAGUGGCGGACGGGUGAGUAACACGUGGGAACGUGCCUUUUGGUUCGGAAUAACUCAGGGAAACUUGUGCUAAUACCGAAUGUGCCCUUCGUGGGAAAGAUUUAUCGCCAUUAGAGCGGCCCGCGUCUGAUUAGCUAGUUGGUGAGGUAACGGCUCACCAAGGCGACGAUCAGUAGCUGGUCUGAGAGGAUGACCAGCCACACUGGGACUGGGACACGGCCCAGACUACUACGGGAGGGAGGAGUGGGGAAUCUAGCGCAAUGGGCGAAAGCCUGACGCAGCCAUGCCGCGUGAAUGAUGAAGGUCUUAGGAUUGUAAAAUUCUUUCACCGGGGACGAUAAUGACGGUACCCGGAGAAGAAGCCCCGGCUAACUUCGUG